UACGAAGGGGGCGAGCGUUGUUCGGAUUUACUGGGCGUAAAGGGCGCGCAGGCGGUCUUGCAAGUCAGGCGUGAAAGCCCCGGGCUUAACCUGGGAAUUGCGCUUGAUACUCUGAGACUGGAGUACGGGAGAGGAGAGUGGAAUUCCCAGUGUAGAGGUGAAAUUCGUAGAUAUUCGCAAGAACACCAGUGGCGAAGGCGGCUCACUGGCCCGGUACUGACGCUGAGGUGCGAAAGCGUGGGGAGCAAACAGG
rnacentral:rRNA from 1 species